GCCUGGGUGGCUAAGUCGGUUAAGCCCCGGACUUCAGCUCAGGUCAUGAUCACACGGUUCAUGGGUUCGAGCCCCGUGUUGGGCU
rnacentral:tRNA from 1 species